GCCGCGGCCUCGUCUGGAGCGCUACGUGCAGUUCUGGUCUCCAUAUUGUGGAGCUGGAAGACGUGCAGAAGACGGCGGCCAAGACGAUCAAGGGGCUGGAGCACCUUCCCCUGGAGCGAAGUCUGGAGCGUCUGGGAGUUUUCAGCUCAGAAAGGAGAUGACGCAGAGGAGACAGGAUGGUGAACAACUUGUACCAGAAUGAUGUGAGUGGCCGAAGAAGACGUUUUAGUCGUCCAUUGUGGGGUGGAUAAUCAGGCUCCAGAGAAUGUCUAGACCGCGACUGAGAGAGUCGCUGAAAUGGCUCCCAGCCACGAUGCCAGAGGAGGAAAUGCCUGUGGGAAAGAAUCAGAAAAUGGCAGGUGGCACCGAGACCCAAACUGAAGCAGCAGAAAAUGGCAGGUGGCAGCAGCCGAGAAAAUAGGUCAGAGUCUCAACUGGUGCUGUCAUAACCAAGAACAAUUCUGGAACAGGACUUUGGACUACCUUAUUCCUCCACUCCACUGUAACAGGAAUGUCUUUCAAAUAUAUUCUGAU